rnacentral:lncRNA from 1 species
CUAAAUUUCCCAAUAGUUGCCCAGAUUGCUUGUAAAUUUUUAUAGGUGCUUGGCCAUUUUAGCUUUUGCUUCACUCUGUCAACUUCUAGCAUCAAGAUUUGUCACCAAGGAUUAAAUGAAUGGUGCUCUUGUUGAUUUAUUUUAUGAAGUGAAGAGCAGGAUCAUAGAAAAGAAGAGGCAGGAUCAUGUCCUGGUCUUCUGAGACGAAGAGAGGCCAGCGCCUGUCCUCGAGUAAGCUGUUCUACUACCUACUCAUGCUGAGGGCUUACAAGAAGUGGAAUCAUUGAGUGAAGAAGACAGCAUGUGGUAAGAACAAGUAACUGAGAUCAGGAGGAAAAAAAAUCCUUGGAUUCUACACAUUUUUGGCUUUAUGCAAGGGAAGAACAGCUCCCCUCCCCCAGGGAUAUUAACCCAAUAUCACAUGACAAGAUGGAAUAAGAGUUAAUGCAAACCGUCAUAUCAAGGCUGGAUAAGGCAACCUGAGCACUUGGAUGGUUGGAAUAUACAUUAAUACUCAGGACACCAAAAGGAAAAGCAACACAAUAUAAUAAUACAUGACAACAGUAUGGAAAGUUGUUAACGAGGGGACAUCGCUGAGACUGGAGUAGGGAGCAGGAGAGGGUUCACUGGGGUGCAGCACACAGUCGUCGAGUGAAAUGGAAAACAGAAAUCCCUUUGAAAAUAAGAGAUAGAAUUCAAGGGUUUCAGGAGCCAUGAAUGGAGUGAUUUGGUGGAGACAUCCUGUUUACAGCUGAGUAUUCAAAGGUCCCUGGACUAAUCUCAGGUUCAUGGUCAACCAAGGAGGAUCACGGAUAAGUUCCAUCUCACCGAGUAGACCUUAAGACAAAUCUGUUGCUUGUCGUUUUACACUCUGCCUGCCCUUGCUGUGUGAAGUGGACUAACUACCAGCCCCAACCUGGCUUCUCUUGAAUCCUUGGGUAAAAGGUACACUCACAUAUGUUCCUUUUCAACUAGCCUUCUUGGCACAGUUGCUGGGUACUACUAUCUCCUACCUGGAGAAGCAUGCCCUUAUCAAUUUCUUAUCUCAGUCUCUCCUACCUUCCCUAACUUCAGUUGCAAAACUCUCCUGAACACCCACCUGUAGGAGUGGCAUGUGAAGCCACUACAUUUUCAGAUCUCACAUGGUUGCCCAGUUCUCCUCUCUCCAAAGCAUAGCAAAAUCGGUUCUCCUUCCUUGCAUCUCCCUUCUUGCCUCCAGAGAUUCAGAAGUCCUGCCUAUACCUUCCCCCCAGCAAUUAGCCCACAAUUUUCUUUAUUGACAGAUCAAGAACCAAUUGAUCAAUUUGGGUCAUUUUAUUUUAUUUAUAUAUUUUUCUUUCUUUUUUCCCUAUGGAAAAAUAUGUUUUACAUUAUGUGUAAAAUAAAUACCCUAUGGCUAUAU